GGGUAAUUUCACAAUGCUCAAAGCAGGAGCAGGAGCAGAAGCAGGUGGUGUGAGAAAAAUGCAUCUUUCUGCCAUGAACGAUCCCUCAGAGAAAAGAAACUGGAACAGCGCGUCAAACAGCAUACACAGAUGAUGAAAGCUAGAGGAGAAAAAUUAAACGGAACAUCCCAAGUGGAAACGAAGAAAGCAAAACAAGACAUCAAGGCAGUUGAAGAUCUACAGACCAAGCUUGCAACACCAGAGGAGGACUCCCUCUCCAGGAGUAUCAUCUCACGGCCUUCACAGGGGAGUUUCCACCUGCCUCACCAAGAAUGCAAACUCAAAAGAUCCUUUCCAGUAGCAAAUUCCGAUCGCCUGGAAUUGUUAAAGUAUGAAAUGUUUACUUCAUAAGAAUGAGAAUUACAAAACCCUUCCCUUCUCACUUAGUCUUCCUGACUGCAUUUGACAAUUUUAAACGUAUAAUGAUAAUCCAUCUGCUCCGACUGUAAAAUCUGUCUCACUUAGAAUAUUUGCGGUACGGUGUUGUAAAGGGUUUUCUUCAGCCUCUCCGCAUGUUCUGCUCAAGCACGCUUCUAUAGGCUUACAAAAAUCCUAUGAAAAUAAAAUUCAAAAAUUAUCUUUAAGGUUUGGAGCAGCCAUUUGCAAUUUUACUAAAUAUGAGGAAACGUGUACUCUCAGUUAACUAAUUUCAUGAAAAACACAUCUCUGGCCUUGCACUGUAUGUCCUGCUCAUAUCGCACCAGUCUGGGCUUUCA